AGCAGCCGCGGUAAUUCCAGCUCCAAUAGCGUAUAUUAAAGUUGUUGCAGUUAAAAAGCUCGUAGUUGAAUUUCGGGGUCUGUCCAUUGGUCGGGCUUCACGGUCCGUACUGGUGUGAUGGGUUCCUACCUUCUGAAUAACCAGCAUGCCAUUCAGUUGGUGCGCCGGGGAAGCAGAGCUAUUACCUUGAAAAAUUAGAGUGCUUAAAGCAGGCUAGUGCUUGAAUAGAUUAGCGUGGAAUAAUAAAAUAGGACGGCAUGGUUCUAUUUUGUUGGUUUCUAGGAUCACCGUAAUGAUUAAUAGGGAUAGUUGGGGGCAUUAGUAUUCAAUUGUCAGAGGUGAAAUUCUUGGAUUUAUUGAAGACUAACUUCUGCGAAAGCAUUUGCCAAG
rnacentral:rRNA from 1 species